rnacentral:rRNA from 1 species
GACGAACGCUGGCGGCGUGCUUUACACAUGCAAGUCGAACGGUGAAGGUGGAGCUUGCUCCGCCGGAUCAGUGGCGAACGGGUGAGUAACACGUGGGCAACCUGCCCCUAACUUUGGGAUAACUACUCGAAAGAGUAGCUAAUACCGGAUAUGAAGUCUGUAGGCAUCUACGGAUUUGGAAAGUUUUUCGGUUAGGGAUGGGCCCGCGGCCUAUCAGCUUGUUGGUGAGGUAGUGGCUCACCAAGGCGACGACGGGUAGCCGGCCUGAGAGGGCGACCGGCCACACUGGGACUGAGACACGGCCCAGACUCCUACGGGAGGCAGCAGUGGGGAAUAUUGCGCAAUGGGCGAAAGCCUGACGCAGCAACGCCGCGUGCGGGAUGAAGGCCUUCGGGUUGUAAACCGCUUUCAGCAGGGAAGAAGCGAAAGUGACGGUACCUGCAGAAGAAGCACCGGCUAACUACGUGCCAGCCGCCGCGGUAA